GGCAAAUGUUGGAGAGAGCACGUCAAAUGGACCCCAAAAGGAUGAGAACAAGACAUAUUAUGGCACUUGUAGCUCUGAAAAUCGUCUGUGAGAAUGUGAAGGAACGGUCAGCAUGCUCAAUUUUAUUUGUGCAAGAGACUGACGACAUGCCAGCAACGCCAUGUGUAUCUUAUAAUGGGGCCGUCCUUGAAGAUGCAGAGUUUUUCUGGCUGAU